rnacentral:rRNA from 1 species
UACAGAGGGGGCAAGCGUUGUUCGGAAUUACUGGGCGUAAAGGGCGCGUAGGCGGCCCGCUAAGUCGAACGUGAAAUCCCCGAGCUCAACUCGGGAACUGCGUCCGAUACUGGCGGGCUUGAAUCCGGGAGAGGGAUGCGGAAUUCCAGGUGUAGCGGUGAAAUGCGUAGAUAUCUGGAGGAACACCUGCGGCGAAGGCGGGUUGCUGGGCUGACACUGACGCUGAGGCGCGAAAGCUAGGGGAGCGAACGGG